GAUGAACGCUGGCGGCGUGCCUAAUACAUGCAAGUCGAACGAACAGACGAGGAGCUUGCUCCUCUGUCGUUAGCCGCGGACGUGUGAAACACACGUGGAUAACCUACCUAUAUGUCUGGGAUCACUUCGGGAAACCGGAGCAAAUCCGGGAUAAUAUCUUGAACCGCAGGGUUCGAUAGAAAAAUACGGCUUUUCGGGCUCUUAUAGAUGGAUCCGCGCCGCAUUAGCUGGUUGUUAAGUUAACGGGUUACCAAGGCAACGAUGCGUAGCCGACCUGAGAGGGGGAUAGGCCACAUGGGAACGUGGACACGGUCCAGACGCCUACGGGAGGCAGCAGUAGGGAAUCUUCCGCAAUGGGCGAAAGCCUGACGGAGCAACGCCGCGUGAGAGAUGAAGGUCUUCGGAUCGUAAAACUCUGUUAUUAGGGAAGAACAAAUGUGUAAGUAACUAUGCACGUCUUGACGGUACCGGGUCAGAAAGCCCCGGCUAACUACGUG
rnacentral:rRNA from 1 species